GUCACUGUGAGGACUUGAAAAAGCCAACUGCACUUUUGAAAAAAGCAUUUUUAUUAAUGAUACCAGUCAGAGGACUGCGUUGACUUGCUUUAUCACUUGUUAUUAGAUAACAUUCUGAGCAUAACACUGGUGCCUAUAAUCACAAUGUGCGUUGAGAUCUAUUUGUGACAUUGUUCCACAGAAUAGCCGAGAGAGGGAAUAGACUAGAGGAAGCUAUCAGGCUGUCCACACCACGUCCCUCCACCCUGGAUAACAUGGAGCUGCUUUAUGUAUUUGUGGCUUUGCUCUUCAGUACCAAGUCCUCCGAUGGAGUCACAGUAUUGCAGAAUCGGCCAGAGAUGUUCACGAUGACGGGGAAUGAGUCUGAGACCCUGCACUGUGAACACGACGAUGCUAACCACGACUAUAUGUACUGGUACAGGCAGGACAGUGGCAGAGGAAUGCGUUUGAUGGCGUAUUCUUUAGGCAAAGGCACCGUGAACAUAGAGCCGCCCUUCAACGCAUCCAAAUACGCGAUGGAGCGUCCUGAAGUAAAGAAGUCGUCUCUGCAGAUAAAGGAUUUGGCGGAGGGGGACUCGGCUGUGUAUUUCUGCGCCUCUAGUUAUGCACGCUAACCCAGAACAGCGACGCUACACGACAAUAACCCCUAUUAACCACAUACUGUACACCCUGCUGGAGGGAGGGGCCUCCUCCCGCUGUACAGCUGCUGAGCUCACUAACGGCACAGGCCUCCGUGCUGCACCCGUCCCUCCGCUGGCUCCACCCCAAAUUCAGCUCAGCUCAGUUCAAUUCAGGUCAAGUUUUGUCUGAAGGUAAAAGGUUUAACAGUGCUAAACAUGCUAGGAGAAUCUUCUUUUGUGGUGUCUCCUGACAAUGUAAAACUUUACGGACAAUAGACAAUUAAUAAAAUAAAUACAAUACAAACAAUCCAGAGAAAAAAUGAAAUAUAAGAAAUAUCCAAGUUAUACACACACAGCCUGUAAAUUCUGUAUAUGUGAUGAGUGUGAGAUUCCCAGUUCCGCUGACUGAAAUUUACUCACUCUGUUCAUCUUUGUAGCCUUUUGAUGAUCGUGAGGUGUCAAAUACAUUGUACAUGUCAGCUGUUUCAUUCAUAAAUAUGAGAGCUUCAAU